ensembl:misc_RNA Metazoa_SRP Metazoan signal recognition particle RNA
GCCAGGUGCAGUGGCACACCCUGUUGUCCCAGCUACAUGGGAGGCUGAGGCAGGAGGAUGGCUUGAGUCCAAGAGUUCUGGGCCAUAGUGUGCUAUGUCCAUCAGGUGUCUGUUUGCACUAAAUUCUGCAUCAAUAUGGUGACCUCCUGGGAGCUGGGGGACCACCAGGUUGCCUAAGGAGAGGUGAACUAGCCCAGGUUGGGAACUGAGCAGGUCAAAACUCCUGUGCUGAUCAGUAGUAGAAUUGUGCCUGUGAAUAGCCACUGCACUCCAGCCUGGACAACGUAGUAAGACCCUGUCUCCU